rnacentral:rRNA from 1 species
CUACGGGAUGCUCCAGUGAGGAAUAUUGCACAAUGGGGGGAACCCUGAUGCAGCAACGCCGCGUGGAGGAUGACGCAUUUCGGUGUGUAAACUCCUUUUAUAUGUCAAGAAAAUGACGGUAGCAUAUGAAUAAGCACCGGCUAACUCCGUGCCAGCAGCCGCGGUAAUACGGAGGGUGCAAGCGUUACUCGGAAUCACUGGGCGUAAAGGACGCGUAGGCAGGCUUGUAAGUCAGGUGUGAAAUCCUACAGCUUAACUGUAGAACUGCACUUGAAACUACGAGCCUAGAGUAUGGGAGGGGCAGAUGGAAUUAGUGGUGUAGGGGUAAAAUCCGUAGAUAUCACUAGGAAUACCUAAAGCGAAGGCGAUCUGCUGGAACAUAACUGACGCUAAGGCGUGAAAGCGUGGGGAGCAAACAGGAUUAGAUACCCGGGUAGUC